rnacentral:lncRNA from 1 species
GUGAAUGCUCUCUCCCUCUUUUAUUAAUGUCGGCGUGCUCCUUUUAUAGGGCUCGGAAACCGACCUAAGACAGUUACAGAUAUGCCCCGUGACGGUGGGGGAAUAUUCCAGCAUAUUCGUACAUCACAGUCUGCUGAUCCUAAGUUACUUGCGUAAUUUCACACUACAGGCUCUCCACGCGCUCCUCGUUCGGGGCUUCAGACUGUCGAACGCUCGUAUCCUUCGCCCGGCAGUCGAUCCUUCGACUCUUCCGCGUCGAAGGUUCCCUGAGCCGGCUGAGUCGGAGGUUGCUCGGGUUGGCCACCUCGGAGGCCGCUCGGCUCAGAUGCGCCGGAGGUUUAUCUCCUCCGCCGCAUCUCCCAAACAUCCUUCGCCAUAGGAAAGCUCGAAGGUUCCCCCCUUCUUCGCCCGCAGAUCUCCGCCGGUGCUCCAGUCCCUGCAUAUGCUCAACAUAGCGAGAGUCAUGUCAACGUUAGCCUUUCUCAGGGUCCUCCGCAUGCAUCUGCACGGAGGUUUCCUGGGUGGAGGAUAGCCUUAGACGCUACCAGGUCGGAGGUUACUCGGGUGAAGGAUAACCUCAGACGCUACCAGGGGGAAGGAUGCGGCCAUUUCCCAACAGUUCCCCCCUUUUUGGGCUAAUGGCACUCUUGCGGUCCAUGUGCUCAAAAACAUGCCACGUUGCGGAGGCUGCGAGCAUGGUUGCUGCCUUCCCCCCUGGUGCGCAGGAUGUGUUUGUUAGCGUCUUCGAAAAAAUAUUUCUUUUACCUAGCCAUUUGUUUUGACAGGAUCCUUCGAUCAUUGUUGUUUCUGAUAGGCUGUUAUCCUUCGCGCGUUAGAGUGCGAAGGGUAUUAUAGCCGUUGGAGUUAGCCGUUUGGGCUGGUGAAUCGCAACGGUCAGGCCGAGUCCUCCGCUUUUAGCCGUUGGGCGCGGGGAAUCGCAACGGCCGCGCGGUCGCAGGCCCCCCCCUAUAAAAAGGGAUGCUGGGGGGGCUCUGAGCUCUCACCCCUGCCGCUCAUUUCCUGCACAUUUUCCUUCGCCACAUUUUGCUUUCUGAGUUGCUCGCACCGCUCGCGUGUGUUAUUGCUGUGUUUAGUCGGAGGGUCUACGGUGGCUCAUCUUCCUCCGCCGCGUCCUUCGAGGUCAGAUUUUUCUGGUCCUUUGCGAGAUUUUCUUAGUGUAAGGUCUGGGGGUUGGCUGCGGAGGUUUGAGGAGUGGAUGCUUGAGGUGGCAGCAGCUCAAGACCUGGAGGAGACGUUGUCCGACGUCGAAGCUUCUGUUGGUGAUCUGAUCAGCGCGAAGGAGUUUGAGGAGAUGGCUGCAAUUACCUUUGAGUUUGGGGAGUCGACAGUGAGGACGGAGGAUAUCGCUGACAUGGUUGAAGCGCGGUUUUUCAAGGAUGGCCGCGCGAAGGCUCCUCCUGCGGGUCAGACGGGGCCUGCGCCUGAAGAGGGUUAUGCUGUUGUAUUCAGGGACUUUUUUACCUGCGGACUUCGGAUGCCUCCGUACCAUUUCCUUCGCGAGGUGAUGGAGAGCUUCAACAUUGAGCUACAGCAUUUCAGCCCCAAUGGGAUACUGACCCUUAGCAAGUUUUCAUGGGCAUGUGAAUCCUACGGAGCCAUGCCCCACAUUGACACUUUUUGCUCAUAUUUCGAACUUCAGCGCCAGCCUAAGAAGGUGAGGGAUGCCGAAGGUGUUGAGUGCAUUGCGCAGUUUGGAAGCUGCACGUUCAUGCCGCGCCGCACAAUGCCUGGGCCAAGGUGCGAGAUCUCCUACUGCCAAAAGGGCAAGUGGGAGAAGGAUUGGAUGAGAGCCUGGUUCUACGUGAAGACCCCCGCUGCGUCGAGGACUUUGGAUGAUGGUAGCGUUGAUAAGGUUUACCCUUACGCAUCCUUGAUGAAGGAUUUGAAGCCUGUCUCGAAGGUUGAUCCUUCGAAACCGGUGUCGGAGGAGCAGCUUGGGGCGCGAUUGGCCUGCGACAAGGCCUUUGCGCUGGCUUGCCGAUACUCCGGAGGUCGGGACCUGGUCGAGGAGAUGGUUGCAGCCGACUACUGGCCCCUUGGCCGCAGGACUGACGAGUUCACCAUUGAAAUGGUGCAAGUACCGGUCUUUGGUCCUCCGGAGGGGUUGCCGUUUCCUCGAUUUGGCGCGGGUUUGCCGGAGGAUGAGACGAAGGAAUCUUUUCUUGACCGCGUGGAGGUUUAUGCUCGGAGGAUCGUUGGAAAGAUCUCAGAGAAGGAAUACCUCCAACGGAAGUCCGCACUUGGGACUAUGCCGCGUUUCAAUCGCGUUUUUGAAGAGUUGGGGAUCGAGUAUGAGGAUUAUGCCGUUCCUCCGGAGGUUCUGCUUGGCCUGGAGAAUAAGAAGGAUUCAUCCAAGGCCGUUGCCGCGGCGGAGGCUAAGAAAAGAAAGGGUUGUGGUGCUGUUAAACAACUUGCGAAGAAGCGCAAGGCGGAGGUUGUGCUGGAGACUCCUUUGGAGUCUUCCUCUGCCCGCUCUUCUGCUGCCGAGUCUAACUCGGUGGCUUCUGUUCCUGCGGAGGUUGCUCCUGCUGGUGGAGUUCCUGAGGUUGAAGCCUCACGCGCGGUCUCUUCUGUACGCGCGCCUUUCGGGUCCCUUCUUGGGGAGGAGUCUUCCGACGCGGAGGCCCCUGAGGCGAGUCCUGCGCGGGAGGCAAAUCCUGCGGUGGCUGAGAGUCCUGCGCGGGAGGUUUUGGCUGGAGGAGGAUCUCCGCCGAAGGAUGGGCAAGAGGAAUCCAGUGAUGAGGCAGAGUCUGUCUCUGUUCGGAGGAUAAAGAGGGUGGAGGCUCCUCCGCGUGCGGCUGGAGAUGGUAUAAACUCGUUGUACAUGGGUAAAGAUUUUAUUUUUAUUGAUUCUUGUUUUUCUGCGUUUUUUGCUUGACUUGGUCUCAUUUUUUUUUAUUUUUCAGAGGAUGUUUUUGCUGGGCUGGCUACCGCGGAGGAGUUAGCUAAAGGCGCCAGCGUUGCGCAGGAAGGACUUGCUGUUCCUCCGCGGCGUGAGCCCGCGCCUUCUGCGUUGGCAAGUAGGCCUUCGCCUGCUGAUGUUAUUGGUCCCGGUGGGUUUCUUCUUUUUUGUUCAACUAAUUGGUUUGUUUUUUGGCAUUUUAUUCUAAGGUUUGUUUUUGUUUUGCGCAGGUGCUUUUGAUCCUUCGAUCACAGGUUGGACUGAUGCCUUGCGCGAGGUUCAUUCCUUGGUCGGAGGUUCGUUGUCUGGCCUCCGCCACAGGUUUUUUGUUUCUUACGAUGUUUUUUCUUAAUUGUUUUUGCUUUACAGAUCGUUUUCGUCAGAAGCUCCGCGGCAUGGACUUUGACACGCUCCUUCGCGUGCAAUAUGAGCACCAUAGCCUUGUACGUUUGCGAUGUGUUAUAUUUUCCUUCGCCGUUUUUCGCUCGGAGGUUGGUUGUAAUUCUUAUUUUUUGAGCAGGGUCAUCACAUGGCUGCCGCCUUGGAGGAGCGCUGCUCCCGGGAGGUUAUUUGCCGGGACGAGGCUAUUGGUGCUCUGAAGAAGGAGAACGAGACCUUGGAGGUUGAGAAGGCUCGCCUGACGGAGGAGGUUAAGGAGUUUUCUUCCGUCAGGCGGGAAAUUGAGUCCCUGAGAAAGGAAAGGGAUGACUACAAAGCUGGGUCGGAGGCCUUGAAGAAGGAUAAAGAAGAUGCCGAAGCUUCGGCGGCUGUCCUCCGCACGAGUGUCACUGAGGCGGGGAGAGUUAGGGACUUGGCCCUGCAGCGAGCCGAGAAGGCGGAGGACAUUGCUGAACGCCUUCGCAAAGAGCUUGACGCUGAGCGGACGUCUGCGGCUGAGCUGCAGACUCGCAUACAGAAGGCGGAAGCGGAGGCUGCAGCUAUUGUUGGGCUCUAUGCCGACUCGCUGGCGAAGUUUGGGGGUAGCACCUCUGCUCCUCCGCCCGGCGGCGACGUUGGGGCUGCCCUCGCAUGGCUGAAGUCUCAUAUCUGCAUGCUCCCUGAUUUUGUCGGGGGCGCUGUUGAUUUUGGGGCUUUGGCCGCGGUUAGCUCCUUUGCUAAGCUGCUGCGCCGCGGAGGUUGCUCCCACGCGGAGGAUGUUGCCAAGGAGGAGUUUGCCACGGCGGAGGAUGUUGGCGAGGGCACCUCUAGCCUGCGCAAAUCUGUCCGGAACUUCAUCAGUUCGUUCUGGAUUAGGUUUGGGCGGGCUGAGGCGAAGAAGAUGGCGGAGGCUCGUCGCGCUGAGGUAUUUUUGAUUUGGUUUUUUCUUUUUGUAUUUUGUUUUGCUGCUUUGCAAUGUUAUUUAAGAUGGGUAUUUUGUAGGAGAUUGCGAAGAAGAAGGCUAAGAUUGACAAGGCCGGUCCUUCGCGUCCACCAAGCGAGGCGCAUCCUCCGACCCAGGCUGAAGCGGAGGCUCGUGAUGCUGGUGCCAAAGCUCCAGAGGGGUCUGCUGCCAGGGUUCCAGAGCAGCCCGAGACUUCUGCUCCUCCUCCGCCUCAGGUGUGAGGCUUUUUAGUUUUUAGGUUUUUCUUAGUCUUUUUUGCGUCCAAGCAUGUGACGCUUUUUUGUAAGUAAGGCCGGAGGUUUUGCUUAAUUUGUAAAGACUGUUGAAAAUGUAAUAUAUUGAGUUGUUUUCAGAUAAGCCUUUGUUUUACACUUUGAUCCUGCGCAGGUCUCUGGCGGAGGACCUGCGCAGGAUCAAUACAUUACUCCCCUUUCAAUUUUUUACAAAGGGAUUUAUGUUUCUGGCGAAUUGUGGGAGUACUGGCGAAUUGCCUUCCCUAACAUGAGGGUGGUGGAUAUGUUUGAGUUUGUUGGAUAUGACCUAAAUGACGAACGAUCUGAAUUCGUCCGGUCGCUUGCGCGCCGAGGUUCAUGGCCUCCGGCUUAGGUGGUUGUUUUUGCUUUAUUUUUCGUUUAUCGUAGGUUAUGUGUGUAUUUCUUUGACAAGGUUUGUUGCUUUUACGCAGCCGCCAUAUCCUAUCCUUCGCAUCUUUGGUGAGAAGGAUAGGGUACGCUGGGUGUCGGAUGUUUCCGAGGAUUUGGCUGAGCCUUUUCUCCAUGGAUAUCCGGAGGUUCGAAAGCUUCGUAAUACGUUUUGGUUUUAUCCUUCGUAAUAAGUUUUGGUUUUGAAGUUUCUCUCUUUUUUUGUACAGGUUGUGAGGUCUGGUCCAGAGGAUGUUCUUCCUUCGAACUUUGUCGAAGGAAGCUACGUUACCCCUGUGACGUUCAAGCGUGGAGAUCUGUAUGCGAGGGGUUACCUGAUUGAUUGGUGGCGCCAUAAGUAUCCUACGCGUAGUAUUGAUGACUUAGUUGAUUUUCUUGUUCGUGAUUACUGCGAUGAGCUUAGGCUUAUUCCAGAUUCGUAUGUAAAAAUUGUGCGAGGGUCUUAGAACCUUCGACUCUUGACGGUCGAAGGAUGUUUUUCGUUUUUGGUUGUAAACUUUUGUUGUUUAUAGUUAAUAAAGAUCAGACAUUUUGACCAUUGCUUUGGCCAUGUUCUUCGCACCUUUUAGCUUUAUUUUUAUUUCAACCUUCGCGCUAUAACGUUUAUACAUUGCAACGUCACGGUGGUGUUGAUCCUAAGGAUCUUUGUGUUGCUGUGGCCUGCUUGUGCUUGAUGCUCGAUGUUGCGAAGGUGGUGUUGAUUUUUUCUUGCGCGGAGGAUCGCCGCUUCUUGGCCUUAGAACCUUUGACUUUAUUGGUGCGAAGGAGCCUCCGCUGAAUUGUGCUACUUUUUCCCUUUGCUCGACUCCCGUGGAGUGUUGUCGAGGAGAACCUUCGGGUAUCUGAGUCGGAGGUUCUGAAGGGACGUUACGAGACUUCGUGCGAUACCCUUCAGAGACCUCUGAGUCUGAUUUCCAUUAUUUCUGUUGUGGCUGUACACGACUUUGUAGUCGAUGUUCAUCACAACGCCGCAGUUCUAUUAUUACGAAGCUUCGUGCAAUACAAACUUUUGUUGCUGUUGUGAGGCUAACUCCUGCUUCCAUGGUGGCCUAUGAUUUUUGCUUUUUGACUGCUAGGUUUGCACUCGAUGCUCGGGUCUUUGUAUACUGAUCCUGAUUGAGGGUGGGGGCAAGGUGAGCCUGGUUUUAUAGGCUUUCAUGCAUUUAUUUUAUGUACUCUGUUAGGUUAAAAUUUAUUAUCGGGUUAUUGAUGGUUGUUGUGGUAGUUGGUUUUGCUGUACCUGACUGAGAGUUAUUGUAGUUUUGUUUUAUUUUCACACUUUGUUUGUUGGGGGUCUGCUUAGAGUAGCAGGAUACCUUCGACCUUAUUUAGGUGAAGGUUAUGUGAGUUUUGUUGAGGUCUGUCUUGUGAAUGUUAAACCUCCGCUGCCUUUUGGCAAAAAUAAUAUAGUUCCUGAUGCCUGAUUGUCCUCAGGUCUUUGUCAGGUCUGAAGGUUUUGUUCCUUCUGGCCAUGUUGUGAUGCCUGAGGAGGACAGGACUUUUUCACUUUUUGGCCAUGCUAUCCUUGCUGCCCGGCUCUUGGCUAGGUCUUUUGCUAAGGAUUUGGUGUUUUUUCACCUUUGAGGACGUUCCGAGCUUUCUUAGCUUUUGGAUGAAUGCUGCGGAGGGUCCUUGUGAUCACGUGAUGAUUUGUCGAAUGCUACAGCCUCGUUGAUGGCUGUUUUUCGACUUUUGGGCUUUGGUUCUGGGGUGGAUUCCUCUUUAUAUCUCAGAGGUUUUUACAUAGGUUCUGCCUCGUUAAAAACCUCACCUCCUGGUAGGAGUACCCCUGUGAGGAAAAGAGUGCAGACCUUGGAAUGCGAAAAAGUAGAGAAAAAGAAAACAAGCGUAUUUAGGGAUGUGGAUGCCGUCGCUUAUUUUGCGGGGUCAUCCUUACACUCAAAUGUAAAAUCUACGUAGAUUGUCGACGUUCCACGUGUGGGUGGAGGUUCUACCUUCGAGGUCUUUCAGGUAGAAGGAUCCUGACCUUCCCGCUUGUAUUGCUGUAUAAGGUCCUUCCCACUUGGGUUGCAUUUUACCAGCGUUUGGGUGAUCUCCCUUUUUCCUGAGUACCAGGUCCCCAUCUUGUAUGUCUUUCCGUACUACCUUGCGGUCUCUCCAUUUCUUGGUUUCUUGUUGAUACAUGGUAAUGUUCUCCACCGCCUCAAGUCUUAUUGAUUCUAAGGUUUCCUUGCAGUAGUCUUCAUCUUCAGCCAACUGCUGCUUCAUGGAACGCAGGCUUUGGUGUUUGAUUUCUUCGGGCAACAUUGCCUCUUCCCCAUACAAGAGCUUGAAUGGAGUAAACCCAGUUGUUCUUGAAACUGUUGUGUUAUGUGACCACACAACUCUGGGUAGCUCGUCAACCCAUUUCCCCUUUCGCAGGUUGAGUAAGGUCUUGGAGAUUGCAGAGAAUAUUAUUCUGUUUGCUCUCUCCACGGCCCCAUUUGACUCUGGGUGGUAGACGGACGCGAAAGCAAUUUUGGUUCCUAUGUGAUGGCAGAAUUCCUUGAACCUGUCUGAAUCAAACUGCUUUCCGUUGUCAACUGUGAGAAGUCUUGGAACUCCGAAUCUACAGACUAUGUUCUGCCAGAAAAAUUUCCUGAUCGUUUCAGAGGUUAUGGUUGCCAGUGGCUUAGCUUCGAUCCAUCUUGUGAAGUAUUCGAUGGCCACGACGGCAAACUUGUUUCCCCCCUGUGCAGUUGGCAUCGGUCCUACCAGGUCCAUUCCCCAUCUCUGCAACGGCCAUGAUGCUGAUAUAAGCUGAGUUGGUGCUGAAGGUCCUGACUGAAUUGGUGAGAAGGUUUGGCAGGCUUUGCAUGUCUUCACUAUUUCUUCAGCAUCUUUGAUGUGAGUUGGCCAGUAGAAGCCUUGUCUUAAUGCUUUAGCAGACAAUGCGCGAGGUCCAAUGUGAGACCCGCACAUUCCAGAGUGUAUCUCUUGCAGGAGCUCUCUGCCCUCGCUUUGUGAUAUGCAUCUCAGCAAAGGUUGGACUACGGCUUUCUUGUACAGGAUCCCGUCAAUGGUGGUGUAAUUCCUUGCUCUUGCCUCCAUCCUCUUGGCUAUUGCUUCGUCAUCUGCAGCUGUCUUGCCUUUGAGGCAAUCAGCUAUUGCCUGCCUCCAAUCUUCGCUUUCUGUCAGCAGGACUGAGCGAAAAGCUUUUGGCAACGAUUCGGUUGCGGGUGUUGCAAUAAUCUGGUGGAAGGUUCCUUCUGGCAAGGGGGCGUUGUUGGCUGCUGCUUUCGCUAGCUCGUCUGCCUCGUAGUUCUCGGCUCUUGGAAUGUACUGCAGAGUGAAUCCCUUGAACCUUCUCUCCAGGCCUCUUACGACGGCCAGAUAUCUUGCCAGCUCCGGGUUGUGUGCUAGGUAUUCCUUCUCCACUUGCCCUGCCACCACCUGGGAGUCUGUUUUGAUGAGUAGGGUUUUUGCUCCCGAAGCCUUAGCUUUGUUCAGCCCGAGGAUGAGACCUUCAUACUCAGCUAUGUUGUUUGUUGCUUUGAAUUCGAGUCGUACAACAAACUUUAGUUUGAGUCCAGAUGGUGCGAUUAGAACGGCUGCUGCUCCUGCUCCUGCUUGACCCCAGGCACCAUCUGUAUACAACGUCCACGGUUGAUCGACUACCUUCUCCUCCUCUUUGUUCGAAGGUGUCCAAUCUGCCAUGAAGUCAGCCAGGGCUUGAGAUUUGAUGGAGGUUCUGGGGACAUAGGUGAUGUCAAACUGUGACAGUUCGGCCGCCCAUUUUCCUAUACGUCCGGAAGCCUCUUUGUUCCUAAGGAUAUCACCCAAUGGCUGCGAAGUGGGUACUUUAAUCUCAUGGCUUUGGAAGUAAUGCUUGAGCUUACUUGAUGCACACAAGACCGCGUACGCGAUUUUUUCUAUCUCCGUGUAGUUCAACUUUGCUCCUGACAGAGCUUCGGAUACGUAGUAAACGGGCCUUUGCACCGUUCCCUUGCUGUCGCUUGUCUCGUGCACCAGGACACCACUGACAGCGUGCUCGGAGGCAGCCACAUACAGUAGUAGUGGGGUGUCUGGCUCAAGCACUGUUACCACCAGGUUGGUUGCAAUGUAAUUCUUGAGCUGCCUGAAGGCCUCUGAUUGUUCCGGACCCCAUUCUGUUUUACCUUCUCCUCUCAGCACUUUGAAGAAUGGAAGGCUCCGUUCUGCGGAUCUUGAAAUGAAUCUGUUGAGGGCUGCUAUUCGGCCAGUCAGCCUUUGCACUUCUUUCUUGCUUGAAGGUUCCGCCAUUGACAUGAUUGCCUUUGUCUUGUUUGGGUUUGCUUUGAUUCCUUCAGGACUGAUAAUAUAUCCCAGCAUUUUCCCUUUGCUGACCCCGAAUACGCAUUUCUCCGGGUUGAGUUUCAGCCCGGCGGUUCUGAGGUUGACAAAGGUUUCCUGUAGGUCCUUGAUAUGAUCUUCUUUGCGCUUGCUCAUGACGACAACGUCGUCAACGUAGGCUAGUAGAGCGCAAGGCUCUUAACCUUGUGGUCGUGGGUUCGAGCCCCACGGUGGGCGCCAAUGUUGGGGAGAGGCUCUCCGCACUCCCCAGCAGUACGGUGAAUCGUGAACCUUCUCACUCGGUGCCGUGAGAGGUUUGAGCUCCAACGGACAGUAGGCUCGACAGUAGGUGAAAAUAGUGAAUGCUCUCUCCCUCUUUUAUUAAUGUCGGCGUGCUCCUUUUAUAGGGCUCGGAAACCGACCUAAGACAGUUACAGAUAUGCCCCGUGACGGUGGGGGAAUAUUCCAGCAUAUUCGUACAUCACAGUCUGCUGAUCCUAAGUUACUUGCGUAAUUUCACACUACAGGCUCUCCACGCGCUCCUCGUCCGGGGCUUCAGACUGUCGAACGCUCGUAUCCUUCGCCCGGCAGUCGAUCCUUCGACUCUUCCGCGUCGAAGGUUCCCUGAGCCGGCUGAGUCGGAGGUUGCUCGGGUUGGCCACCUCGGAGGCCGCUCGGCUCAGAUGCGCCGGAGGUUUAUCUCCUCCGCCGCAUCUCCCGAACAUCCUUCGCCAUAGGAAAGCUCGAAGGUUCCCCCCUUCUUCGCCCGCAGAUCUCCGCCGGUGCUCCAGUCCCUGCAUAUGCUCAACAUAGCGAGAGUCAUGUCAACGUUAGCCUUUCUCAGGGUCCUCCGCAUGCAUCUGCACGGAGGUUUCCUGGGUGGAGG